GAGUUUGAUUCUGGCUCAGAACGAACGCUGGCGGCGCGUCUUAAGCAUGCAAGUCGAACGGCAAGAGAGAAGCUUGCUUCUCUCCUAGAGUGGCGGACUGGUGAGGAACGCGUGGGUAAUCUGCCCUUAAGAUGGGGAUAGCCGUUAGAAAUAGCGGGUAAUACCGAAUACACUCACUUUCCCACAAGCGGAAGUGAGGAAAGGAAGCUAAGGCUUCGCUUAAGGAUGAGCCUGCGUCCCAUUAGCUUGUUGGUAAGGUAACGGCUUACCAAGGCGACGAUGGGUAUCCGGCCUGAGAGGGUGAACGGACACAUUGGGACUGAGAUACGGCCCAAACUCCUACGGGAGGCAGCAGCUAAGAAUAUUCCGCAAUGGACGGAAGUCUGACGGAGCGACGCCGCGUGGAUGAAGAAGGCUGAAAAGUUGUAAAAUCCUUUUGCCGAUGAAGAAUAAUGGUAAGAGGGAAUGCUUAUCAGAUGA
rnacentral:rRNA from 1 species